rnacentral:tRNA from 1 species
GCAAGUGUAGCAUAACGGUUAGUGCGUUGGCCUUCCAAGCCGAGGAUGACGGUUCGAUUCCGUUCACUUGCUCA